CCUACGGGCGGCAGCAGUGGGGAAUCUUGCGCAAUGGGCGAAAGCCUGACGCAGCGACGCCGCGUGGGUGACGAAGGCCUUCGGGUUGUAAAGCCCUGUGGGGCGAGACGAACAGCUUCCAGUCGAACAGGCUGGGGGUUUGACGGUAUCGCCUUAGCAAGCACCGGCUAACUCUGUGCCAGCAGCCGCGGUAAUACAGAGGGUGCAAACGUUGCUCGGAAUUACUGGGCGUAAAGCGCGUGUAGGCGGUUUUAUAAGUCCGACGUGAAAGCCUGGGGCUCAACCCCAGAAGUGCGCUGGAUACUGUGAAGCUAGAGUCCUGAAGAGGAGAGCGGAAUUCCCGGUGUAGAGGUGAAAUUCGUAGAUAUCGGGAGGAACACCUGUGGCGAAGGCGGCUCUCUGGGCAGGUACUGACGCUGAGACGCGAAAGCGUGGGGAGCAAACAGGAUUAGAUACCCGAGUAGUC
rnacentral:rRNA from 1 species